rnacentral:misc_RNA from 1 species
GUAUAUCUUCAGUAGUUUUUUCCUACACACAAACUUUCAAUUAAACACCAGAGAAAUCAUUGUCCACAGAUAAGCACAUGCACAUUUGCGCGCACACACACACACAGAAAUUCAAAGCAAAAUAGAGAACAUAUUUUCCAUGAUUAUUGUUAUGGAUAUUAUCUUGAUAGAGAAUAUUAUCUUGAUAAGAGUCUUGUAUAGUAAGGUUAUCUCAUAAGGAUUCCUAUUAAUAUAGGUUUCCUAAUUAGUGUAGAAUUCCUAAUAUGUAGAAAUCCUAAUUAGUGUAGGACAAUUUUGUAUAUAUAUACCUAUGUAUAUACUCAAUUAAAUCAAGGAAAUAGAAACCUUCAAUUACAAUUAUACACGAUAAAUAUUAUAGCAUGAUGUUCAAGAGCAUGAAUAAGUGAUAUUCUUUGUACAUUAUGUUUAGCUACAGUGUCACCAUUAUCUCUAUGAUAAAUAAAGUCAUCAGGAACAUUGACGUGUAACCUAUAUCCUCAAUUAUGCAGGAAACCACUUCAGAUAAGAAAAAAGAGAAGAUAGAAUUGAAAUCACAUGCAGUCAAAAAUUUAAGAUAUCACCUGAAGAAAAAAAAAAGGUAACAUAGAAAUCAUCUUCCCCAGUAUAUAAACACUGCAAAUAUCCAUCAAACCAAAUGUUUUUACAUCCCUUCCCAACCAUACCACAGCAAGCAAUGAGGAACAGCUUUCCAAUUGUACAUUAUAAACCUUGUUGCCAAAUCUUCCUUUCCAGUUGAUGAAAACUUGAAAUGCAAGCCCAAUGAUAUUACAACAUUAUGCUCUUCAUGGAGGCACCGAUACAGAGCAAUAAACAAUCAUGGAUUGCCACUUGCCCUUUGCUUGUGUAUAGAGUAAAUUUACCAUGAUCUUUUCUUUUUGGAUUAAAUUAUUGAACUUUCAGCUCUUUCCAUAUCCAAAAAAAUUGCUACCUCAAUAGGAAGCUGUUUAUCUCAAUCCAAGUAAACUAUUGAACCAAACCAUAUUCAAUUCAGUUUUCUCUUCAACUAUUAUUCAAGUCAGCUAUCAGUUGGGGACCUCAAAAACUAAAUAACCAGAACUGAAUCAAUCCUUUAUUCAUAGUCUUAAUUACACAUUCAUAGUCACAAACACACACACACACACACA